rnacentral:lncRNA from 1 species
GGAAGUGCUUAAUAAAUGCUCUAUUUUCUUCCUAGAGAAAAGAACAGAAGACGAGUUUAGAGAUUGGAGGAGGAGACCAAGGCUGAGAGAAUCGAUGGAUGCCGGGGACUGAGAAAACCAGUUAAAAUCAGUUCAGGUUGCAUUGCAGGUCCAGAGGCUCUGGCCACCCUUAGUACUUAUUAUUGCAUAAAAUCCACCAUCUUCCAUCUCCAGUGCUUUGUCCCAGCCAAGCCCCCAGCCAGAGUUCGGCUCCUUCCGGACUCCCCUGAAGCUACUCUGCUGGAAGAGGAGAACUCCUGGAAGGAGUCCUGCUAUGCUGAGAGCCCUUAAAACAGGACAAAGAUCAGAGGGAGCAGAAUCAAGACUGACAGCUACAAUAACCUGGUUACAAGGAUGAAUUUGGACUGCCCAGGAUUUCUGAGGGACAAGAAUCCAGAAGUUUUUCUUGGCAACAUGUAAUUGUUUUAAAGUAGCAUUAUCUGGG